rnacentral:rRNA from 1 species
UACGUAGGUGGCGAGCGUUGUCCGGAUUUACUGGGCGUAAAGAGCGCGCAGGCGGCUGGUCAAGUCCGAUGUGAAAGCUCCCGGCUUAACUGGGAAAUUGCAUCGGAAACUGAUCGGCUGGAAGGUGGGAGAGGGUAGCGGAAUUCACGGUGUAGCAGUGAAAUGCGUAGAGAUCGGGAAGGAACAUCAGUUGCGAAGGCGGCUCUCUGGACGGUGACUGACGGCUGAGACGCGAAAGCGUGGGGAGCAAACAGGG